GACGAACGCUGGCGGCGUGCCUAAUACAUGCAAGUCGAACGCUUCUUUCCUCCCGAGUGCUUGCACUCAAUUGGAAAGAGGAGUGGCGGACGGGUGAGUAACACGUGGGUAACCUACCCAUCAGAGGGGGAUAACACUUGGAAACAGGUGCUAAUACCGCAUAACAGUUUAUGCCGCAUGGCAGAAGAGUGAAAGGCGCUUUCGGGUGUCGCUGAUGGAUGGACCCGCGGUGCAUUAGCUAGUUGGUGAGGUAACGGCUCACCAAGGCCACGAUGCAUAGCCGACCUGAGAGGGUGAUCGGCCACACUGGGACUGAGACACGGCCCAGACUCCCACGGGAGGCAGCAGUAGGGAAUCUUCGGCAAUGGACGAAAGUCUGACCGAGCAACGCCGCGUGAGUGAAGAAGGUUUUCGGAUCGUAAAACUCUGUUGUUAGAGAAGAACAAGGACGUUAGUAACUGAACGUCCCCUGACGGUAUCUAACCAGAAAGCCACGGCUAACUACGUG
rnacentral:rRNA from 1 species